GUCCUAACUGUAAACGGUGCGCGCUUGGUGUGGCGGGUCUCGACCCCUGCCGUGCCGGAGCUAACGCGUUAAGCGCGCCGCCUGGGAAGUACGGUCGCAAGAUUAAAACUCAAAGAAAUUGACGGGGACCCGCACAAGCGGUGGAGUAUGUGGCUUAAUUCGAUGCAACGCGAAGAACCUUACCUGGGCUUGACAUGCACUGUAACCCUUGCGAAAGCAAGGCAGCGUAGCAAUACGCGCUCUGCACAGGUGCUGCAUGGCUGUCGU
rnacentral:rRNA from 1 species